rnacentral:lncRNA from 1 species
GACACCUCUUUCGUCCUGCCUCGGAAGCUCGCGGGAACCGACGGACGGCCGCGGCGACCGAGGGCCGGACUGCGGGCAGCAGCAAGGUGAAUGGUGCUCUUGAGCACCUUCUGCAGGAACCACUCACACCUGUUCCGGGGACACUUUCUCCAAAGGAUCAGUAAGCAUCCAGUUCAAUUUCAGAUUCAUGGGGUUGCUGCAGACCAGACACUGCUUGUCUCACUAAGACAAGAACAGUUGAGCAUCACACACCAAAAGGCACAUCGGGUUAAAAAACAAAAGCUGUAAAGUUUGGAUCUUUUCCUGCACUGGAAGCAAGAAAAAUGGAAAAUUGAUCAUCAAAGGUAAAACUAUCUCCUUUUCCUUUAAAUCAUAUAUUCCUACAGCUCC